rnacentral:rRNA from 1 species
AGAAUCAACGCUGGCGGCGUGCCUAACACAUGCAAGUCGCACGAGAAAGGGUAGCAAUACCUGAGUACAGUGGCGCACGGGUGAGUAACACGUGACUAACCUACCCUCGAGUGGGGAAUAACCUGGGGAAACCCGGGCUAAUACCGCAUAACACUUACGAGUCAAAGCAGCAAUGCGCUUGAGGAGGGGGUCGCGGCCGAUUAGCUAGUUGGCGGGGUAAUGGCCCACCAAGGCAAUGAUCGGUA